rnacentral:rRNA from 1 species
CGUAGGUAACCUGCCCUGGAGUGGGGGAUAACGCACCGAAAGGUGUGCUAAUACCGCAUAAUCUCUACGGAGAAAAGCAGGGGAUCGCAAGACCUUGCGCUCUUGGAGCGGCCGAUGUCUGAUUAGCUAGUUGGUGAGGUAAAGGCUUACCAAGGCGACGAUCAGUAGCUGGUCUGAGAGGACGACCAGCCACACUGGCACUGACAUACGGGCCAG